rnacentral:rRNA from 1 species
GCGAGCGGGAAGAGCUCAAAUUUAUAAUCUGGCACCUUCGGUGUCCGAGUUGUAAUCUCUAGAAGUGUUUUCCGCGUUGGACCGCACACAAGUCUGUUGGAAUACAGCGGCAUAGUGGUGAAACCCCCGUAUAUGGUGCGGACGCCCAGCGCUUUGUGAUACACUUUCAAUGAGUCGAGUUGUUUGGGAAUGCAGCUCAAAUUGGGUGGUAAAUUCCAUCUAAAGCUAAAUAUUGGCGAGAGACCGAUAGCGAACAAGUACCGUGAGGGAAAGAUGAAAAGCACUUUGGAAAGAGAGUUAACAGUACGUGAAAUUGUUGGAAGGGAAACGCUUGAAGUCAGACUUGCUUGCCGGAGCUUGCUUCGGUUUGCAGGCCAGCAUCAGUUUUCCGGGGUGGAUAAUGACGGUUUGAAGGUAGCAGUCUCGGCUGUGUUAUAGCUUUCCGUUGGAUACAUCCUGGGGGACUGAGGAACGCAGCGUGCUUUUUGCGAAAGACUCGUCUUUUUCACGCUUAGGAU